AGCGAACGCUGGCGGCAGGCUUAACACAUGCAAGUCGAGCGGACCUUUCGGGGUCAGCGGCGGACGGGUGAGUAACGCGUGGGAACGUGCCUUCCGGUUCGGAAUAACCCUGGGAAACUAGGGCUAAUACCGGAUACGCCCUUAUGGGGAAAGGUUUACUGCCGGAAGAUCGGCCCGCGUCUGAUUAGCUAGUUGGUGGGGUAACGGCCUACCAAGGCGACGAUCAGUAGCUGGUCUGAGAGGAUGAUCAGCCACACUGGGACUGAGACACGGCCCAGACUCCUACGGGAGGCAGCAGUGGGGAAUAUUGGACAAUGGGCGCAAGCCUGUUCCAGCCAUGCCGCGUGAGUGAUGAAGGCCUUAGGGUUGUAAAGCUCUUUUAUCCGGGACGAUAAUGACGGUACCGGAGGAAUAAGCCCCGGCUAACUUCGUGCCAGCCGCCGCCGUAA
rnacentral:rRNA from 1 species